rnacentral:rRNA from 1 species
GACGAACGCUGGCGGCGUGCUUAACACAUGCAAGUCGAACGGAAAGGCCCUGCUUUUGUGGGGUGCUCGAGUGGCGAACGGGUGAGUAACACGUGAGUAACCUGCCCUUGACUUUGGGAUAACUUCAGGAAACUGGGGCUAAUACCGGAUAGGAGCUCCUGCUGCAUGGUGGGGGUUGGAAAGUUUCGGCGGUUGGGGAUGGACUCGCGGCUUGUCAGCUUGUUGGUGGGGUAGUGGCUUACCAAGGCUUUGACGGGUAGCCGGCCUGCGAGGGUGGCCGGCCAGGUUGGGACUGAGACACGGCCCAGACUCAGCCGGGAGGCCGCAGGGGGGAAUAGGGCACAAUGGGCGGAAGCCUGACGCAGCAACGCCGCGUGCGGGGUGACGGCCUUCGGGUGGUAAACCGCAUGCGCCGGUGACGAAGCGUGAGUGACGGGAAUAAGUAAAGAAGCACCGGCUAACCACGUG